AUUGAACGCUGGCGGCAGGCUUAACACAUGCAAGUCGAACGGUAACAUAAAGAAGCUUGCUUCUUUGAUGACGAGUGGCGGACGGGUGAGUAAUGCUUGGGAAUCUAGCUUAUGGAGGGGGAUAACUACGGGAAACUGUAGCUAAUACCGCGUAAUAUCGAAAGAUUAAAGUGUGGGACCUUCGGGCCACAUGCCAUAAGAUGAGCCCAAGUGGGAUUAGGUAGUUGGUGAGGUAAAGGCUCACCAAGCCGACGAUCUCUAGCUGGUCUGAGAGGAUGACCAGCCACACUGGGACUGAGACACGGCCCAGACUCCUACGGGAGGCAGCAGUGGGGAAUAUUGCGCAAUGGGGGCAACCCUGACGCAGCCAUGCCGCGUGAAUGAAGAAGGCCUUCGGGUUGUAAAGUUCUUUCGGUAGCGAGGAAGGCAUUUAGUUUAAUAGACUAGGUGAUUGGCGUAACUACA
rnacentral:rRNA from 1 species